GGAUGUUGUGUGGUGGUCACUCACUGCUUGUACCUUCUUCCAGUCAAUUAAAGCCGAUAUCUCGCCUUUAUGUCUCAGAGUUUUAUCCUCAGAGAUCUUGCCAUGCAUGAACUUGAACGUGUUCAAUUGCUACACUUAUGAGGAUUGAUUGAAAUAUUUAUUCUCGAUUUCUAUUGACCUUCGGCAGAUUUGAGAUACCGAUUACAGACUGUUAUGUCAGCAACGUGACACACAAAAUGCUGGAUGGACUCAGCCGGGUUCCUCGUGUUGCCCUGGAUUGACAACAUUUUCUGAUUUUCGGCAGUUUGUGCAUUAGCAACGUUCUCAU